AUUGAACGCUGGCGGCAUGCCUAACACAUGCAAGUCGAACGGCAGCACGACCUAGCUUGCUAGGUUGGUGGCGAGUGGCGCACGGGUGAGUAAUGCGUAGGAAUAUACCUUAAAGUGGGGGACAACUUGGGGAAACUCAGGCUAAUACCGCAUGAGCUCUAAGGAGGAAAGCUGGGGACCUUUCGGGGCCUGGCGCUUUAAGAAUAGCUUACGUCCGAUUAGUUAGUUGGUGGGGUAAAGGCUUACCAAGACGAUGAUCGGUAGCUGGUCUGAGAGGAGGAUCAGCCACACUGGGACUGAGACACGGCCCAGACUCCUACGGGAGGCAGCAGUGGGGAAUAUUGGACAAUGGGGGAAACCCUGAUCCAGCGAUGCCGCGUGUGUGAAGAAGGCCUGCGGGUUGUAAAGCACUUUUGGUGGGGAGGAGGACUUAUAGGUUAAGAGCUAAUGAGUUGGACGUUACCCACAUAAGAAGCACCGGCUAACUCCGUGCCAGCAGCCGCCGCCG
rnacentral:rRNA from 1 species